UUCUGAGGUAUCACCAACAUGGAUAAAAUUUCCUGCCUUCUUGGAGCUUACAUUCUAGUGAUGGGUUGAGAUGAUCUCGUUCUAGUGCUUUUACUUUGUUUUUACUGCUUAGUCAAGAACACAGCACUAAUUCUAUUAUAUUAUCAGACAAACACUGUGGCUGAUCUGUAUGUACAGACCAGGAUUUCCUUGGAAGCACAGGUAUGAGAACAGAAGGAAAAUUCUUGGGUUCAUCCAAGGUUGUGAUUUGGUCCCAGUGAAUGGUACAAAAGGAAAAAGGAACAAAAAAGGGAAUAUAGCUGAAGAUGUCAAAGAAAUCAGAAAAGAUGGAAAAGAAAGUGGAAACAGAAUUUUAAAAGGU